rnacentral:rRNA from 1 species
AUUGAACGCUGGCGGGAUGCCUUACACAUGCAAGUCGAACGAGUGGCGGACGGGUGAGUAAUAUAUCGGAACGUUCCCAGUAGCGGGGGAUAACUACUCGACAGUGUGGCUAAUACCGUUUUCUAUUGGAGCGGCCGAUAUCGGAUUAGCUUGUUGGUGGGGCAAAGGCACACCAAGGCCACGAUCCGUAGCUGGUUUGAGAGGACGACCAGCCACACUGGGACUGAGACACGGCCCAGACUCCUACGGGAGGCAGCAGUGGGGAAUAUUGGACAAUGGGGGAAAGCCUGAUCCAGCCAUGCCGCGUGUAUGAGAAGGCCUUCGGGUUGUAAAGUACUUUAAGCAGAGAAGCGGUAUCUGCAGAAUAAGCACCGGCUAACUACGUGCCAGCAGCCGCGGUAAUUC